rnacentral:rRNA from 1 species
UAGAAUUUUAUUACUAAAAAUGGUAGAUUUAUUUAUUGUUAAUAAGAAUAAUUUUAAAGUUUAAAGUUUUAGUAUAUUAUAUAAAAUGAAUUUUGGGAGUUAUAGUUUAAUAGUAUUGUAAAAGGAUUAUGAGAUAAAGAGGAUUAAUUUUAAAGUAAAUUUAUAAAUUGUACCUUUUGUAUCAGGGUUUAUUAAUUUUAUUUAAAAAGUUAAUUUUCUCGAAUUUAGUAGAGCUAAAAUUGUAUGAAUUUUAUUGUGUAAAAAAUAAAUUAAAUAUAAUUUUAGAUGCGAUAUACUAGUCGUUACUAAAUAUAUCUAGUUUUUAAAGAAAUGAAUUUAAUUCAGCCUGUUUAUUGAUAAUUUAAUUUUUGAAUUGAUUUAUAGACAGAGUAAAAUGUUUAGGGAUAAGCUUAGACAUUAAGUUAUAAAUUUAAUUUUGUUACUUUAAUAAGUAUGAUUAAAAUUUUUAAUCUUUAUAUAGUUUGUUAUAAGAAGUUAUUUUUUUUAAUGAUUUUAAGGUUUUUAAUUUGUUUAUUUAAAUAAUUUAGUUAAUAGAUACUAAGAGUAAUAAUGAUAAAAUUAGUAUAAUUUAUAUUAUAGUAUAUAAAGAGGGAAAGGUAAUAGUAAGGAAUUCAGCAAAUAUUUAAUUCACCUGUUUAUCAAAAACAUGGCUUGUUGAAUAUAAUUUUAAGUCUAAUCUGCCCACUGAAAUUUUUAAAGGGCCGCAGUAUUUUGACUGUGCAAAGGUAGCAUAAUUAUUUGUUUCUUAAUUAGGGACUUGUAUGAAUGAUUGAAUGAAAUUAAUACUGUCUCAUUGUUAUUGGUAUUAAAAUUUAAUUUUUGAGUUAAAAAGCUUAAAUAUUAUUAAAAGACGAGAAGACCCUAUAGAGUUUUAUAUUGUUUUUAAUAUUUUAAAUGGUAAAAAAUAUUUAAUGUUAAUUAAGAAUAUUUAAUUGGGGUGAUUAGAAAAUUUAUUAAACUUUUCUUUAUUAAAAUAUUAAUUUGUAGAUUUAUGAUCCUAUUUUAUAGAUUAUAAGAUUAAAUUACCUUAGGGAUAACAGCGUAAUUUAUUUGGAGAGUUCAUAUUGAUAAAUAAGUUUGCGACCUCGAUGUUGAAUUAAAAUAUAAUUUGAGUGCAGCAGCUCAUUAUUUAAGUCUGUUCGACUUUUAAAAUUUUACAUGAUUUGAGUUCAGACCGGCGUGAGCCAGGUCGGUUUCUAUCUUUAAUAUAAAAUUUUGUCUUAGUACGAAAGGACCAGAUAAAAUAAAAAGUUUAUUUGUAUAUGAAUAUUAAUAAUACUUA